GGAAGGAUUAGUAUAAUUAAUUACAUAAGAUUGCAAGUCUUAGAAUUGAUUCUUCU
rnacentral:tRNA from 1 species